UGGUUGACGAUGGAAAAAGGACUGAAG
rnacentral:piRNA from 1 species